AGACAAAAUAAACAGACAAACAGACAGGCAGGCAGGCAGGCAGACAAAUAAACAAACAGACAGGCAAACAGACAGACAGACAAAGACAGACAGACAGACCGGAAGACAAAUAAACAGACAGACAGGCAAACAAACAGACAGACAGACAGACAGACAGACUACCAGAUAGGCAAACAGACAAACAAACAAACAGACAGACAGACAAACAAACAGACAAAUAAACAAACAGACAGACAGACAAACAAACAGACAAACAAACAGACAGACAAACAAACAGACAGACAGACAAACAAACAGACAAACAAACAGACCGACAGACUGACAGACAAACAAACAGACAAACAAACAAACAGACAGACAGACAAACAAAUAAAUAAACAGACAGACAUAUAGACAUACAAACAGACAUACAAACAGACAGACAAACACACACACACACACACACCACAUCAGGGUGGUAAGCUAACAGCAACGAACACAAUGUUAUAAUAUAGUAUCCAGUAACCCAAUAAAAGAUCAUACACAGGUAACUCAGCCAAGACAAGCAACAAAGUAACUGACAAAACAGGCAAACAAUCCACGCCCUGAAAAAAACCAAGAAUACAGUCACCCUUCCUGUCACCUCUAGGAAAUAAUAUAAAGUCAUUACUUAGUGAUGCUUCCAUUUGACUGCCUAUCUCUAAUAUCCUAGAAAAAUGAUAUUUUGGUGCCAAGAUCUACAAAUAAUAAAGACGGAUAAGAUCAUAAAUAAUUAACAUUAUAAGAUAGGUUGAUAUCAAACAGCUGAGAUAUGUAGUGCCAUUCGAAAGGCACCAGCUGUCUCUCAAACUUCAUCACUCGACAGAAUGACAAAGUCAUAUGUACCUAUGUUGAUCAGAUGGUCUACAAGACACAAGCAUCUCCACUCACUCACCUCCCUAUCUCAUCUAAAUGCUGAUAUCAAGCUACACAUCUGGUAAGUCCCCGCUAAAUAAGGUGGGGCCUCCUGCUAUGUAGCAAUGACUAUUCUUAGAGUACACGUACACGCUUUUGCAUUCGGUUGUUCUUUGACUUUUGAAUUGAUUUGUGCAGUUGAUUUGUGUUUUGCUGUCUAGUGUUCUAUAUCUAACGAUGACAAAUGAUGAUACAUCAAUGAAGCACAUGUCAUCAACAGAUGUUCGUCUAAUGAUAUUACACAAGCAAUGACAAAAUGACAGAAAAUGAAUUAAUUAAUUAACAGAAACCCUGACAGCUAGAGUCACUAACUAACUUUACCACUGAACAUCAACAUAUCAACACAUUCAGUACAAAAAGCAGCAGGUGCUGCGUCAGGUGCUUAGUUAAUUAACAAGGAAAGUAGAGAGUAGUAAACAAGAGAGUAAAUGAAACGGUCACAGAUGUGGAUACUCUACUACACUACCUAGACAUAACCAAUUCACGUGACCCUUCCUACACUUCCACCAAGUGUACUUUGCACCCUCAACGGAUGUGGUUUGCGUACUUUGUUUUCCUUUGUCCAUGUACAGACUAGCACACGCAAUAAAACUCACCACUUUUAUCUCGUAUAGCAAGAUCAGUGCCGCUAAUGAGAUGAAUCAAUAGUUUGUAUUUCAUUCCGGGUACAGGAAGUUGCACAUUCUUUGCCUCCGUUGUUUCAGCUUCAGGUGCAGUUACUCUAAUCUGUGGAGUCUGUGCUCGAGAAUG